GCUAUCGGGAUGGGACUAAGACAAUGCUAGUCAAGCGUCCCCAAGCCAUGUUGGGGAUGCGGCGCACAGCUCAGUAACACGUGGCUAACCUGCCCUUGGGAUAGAACAACCCCGGGAAACUGGGGCUAAUUCCCAAUAGCGAAGGCUCCUGGAAUGGAUCUUCACCAAAAGGGCGCCUACGCCAUGCUUGUAGCGUCGCCCAAGGAUGGGGCCGCGACCGAUCAGGUUGUUGGUGAGGUAAUGGCCCACCAAGCCUAUAACCGGUGCGGGCCGUGAGAGCGGGAGCCCGGAGAUGGGCACUGAACAAGGGCCCAGUCCUACGGGGCGCACAGUCGCGAAAACUUUGCAAUACACGCAAGUGUGACAGGGUCAUCCCGAGUGCCGUCCGCUGAGGAUGGCUUUUACCCAGUCUAGAAAGCUGGGGGAAUAAGGAGAGGGCAAGUCUGGUGUCAGCCGCCGCGGUAAUACCAGCUCUCCGAGUGGUGUGGACGUNUAUUGGGCCUAAAGCAUCCGUAGCUGGCUGAACAAGUCCCCUGUUAAACCCACCGAUUUAAUCGUUGGUCUGCGGGGGAUACUGCUCGGCUAGGGACGAGAGAGGCCGACGGUAUUUCCGGGGUAGGGUGAAAUCCUAUAAUCCCGG
rnacentral:rRNA from 1 species